CGUUUAGAGUUGGCACAAAAUCCACCAAAUCAAACCAGUCGGGCGGAGGAUUCAAUAUCUCAGAGUUUCACUCUCAACAUUUCAUUCUCUCUCUCUCUCUCAACA
rnacentral:sRNA from 1 species